UAGGGAAUCUUCCACAAUGGACAAAGUCUGAUGGAGCAACGCCGCGUGAGUGAAGAAGGGUUUCGGCUCGUAAAACUCUGUUGUUAAAGAAGAACAUAUCUGAGAGUAACUGUUCAGGUAUUGACGGUUAUUUAACCAGAAGCCGCGCUAACUACGCGCCAG
rnacentral:rRNA from 1 species